rnacentral:misc_RNA from 1 species
GAAAUGCGAUACGUAGUGUGAAUUGCAGAAUUCCGCGAAUCAUCGAGUCUUUGAACGCAAGUUGCGCCCGAGGCUCGUCCGAGGGCAUUCCUGCCUGAGCGUCAUCGCGCCACCCACCGGCCCCUCCCGGCCGAGUGAACCUGGCCGUCCGAGCCCGAACAGGGUCCGGUCGGCUGAAAUGCAGAGAGUCCGGUUGCCGUGGAGACACAGCUGCGAUCAGGUGAUCCGACCCUCCCUCGGGAGACGGAAGCAUGCGCAGUGCCGUGUCUCUCAGCCGCCCGCGACUCAAGCAGGUCUCGCGGCCCGAGUCCGUCUUUCGGGACGGGCCGGCCGCGGCCCACGUACGCAUCAGACCUCAGAUCAGGAAAGACUACCCGCUGAGUUUAA